AGUCCCUCCUCCUACAGGAAGCGGAACAUUUCCUGCUGUUGAGCUGGAACUUUGCUGGACGAUCUCCCCGCUCCUGGAGGCAACACAUACCGGCAUCAGCGAGGAUGACAGCCCUCCUGGGCAGACUCGUGGUUUCGGGCUGCUCGUCGUGGCGGUGCAGCCGGACCGGCCGCGCAGCGCUCCCCCGGGCCGGAGCGCGCCUGCUGGCCGGGAGCGAGCGCCCUUUGACGGGGAGCGGGGGCGCGGACACGCCGGAGCCUCCACAGGUGGACCUGAAGAGGCUGGAGGGGGAGGACGAGGGGAUCGUGGAGGUGUUGAUGCGCCGAUACAGAGCAAGAAACGCUCUCGGUCAUGUGUUCGUGUCACAGAUGGGGGAGCUGGUGUCCUCCCUCUCCAGUGACUCGGCAGUGCGUGUGGUUAUCUUCAGAAGUUUAGUACCAGGGGUCUUCUGUGCAGGUGCCGACCUGAAAGAGCGAUCUCUGAUGACCGACGCCGAGUCUGACCUGUUCGUUCACGGCCUGCGGUCCUUGAUGACUCAAAUAGCAUCGUUGCCCUCGCCGACCAUAGCAGCAAUGGACGGCGUGGCCCUUGGAGGUGGACUGGAGCUCGCCCUGGCCUGUGACCUUCGCACAGCCACAUAUUCUGCACAGAUGGGUCUGAUCGAGACGACACGGGGGCUGCUUCCAGGGGCGGGGGGCAGUCAGCGGCUGCCGCGGAUGGUCGGCAUCACUCUGGCCAAGGACCUCAUAUUCACAGGUAGACGUGUGGGCGGGCGAACGGCUCUGGAGAUGGGGCUUGUAAACGGAGCCGUGGAACAGAACCAGGCAGGAGACGCAGCGUACAGAGAGGCGCUCAGCCUGGCCAGAGAAAUACUGCCCCAGGCAAAGAUCUGCUCUCUUCCCUCUUUUUCUUCUGCUCAUUGUCUGCCUCUCUUCAUCGCUCCCUCCUUCAGAUCCUGGUGUUUUCCUCCCACCACUCUUCUCUCCUCUCUCUCCAGGCCUCUGUCAUCCCAUAUAUCUUUCACUCCAGUUCAGAUGCCUGCAGUUGGCAGAGCCGGAGUGGCAGUCAAGUGGAGAAACGGACCACAAAUAGCACGACAUGAGCACACAUCCGCGGCCGAAUGCUCAGGCCGGUGUGGCCUUAGUGACUGAUUUGUGAUGACUGGAAGUGAGGUGAAAUAGACUCAAUGAUAGGUGAACCCACAGAUCCUGGUAGAGUUGUGGCUGCCGGUUAUCUUUUUAUUUUGUGCUUAUCCGGUGAAGAGUUGUGGUUGAAGCAGGCUGAUCAGGGUCCUCGAGACAUUCCCGUUUUCUAAUAUUCCAAGGUGAAACCAAAUAAUUUGAUGUAUGCAAUUCCUACUCAAGGACCUUUAGAAAGGUGACAGCAAUCAGCUAGGAAGCCAUCCUGAUCACAUGCCCAGACCACUUCAGCUGACUCCUCUAGUCCUCAAGGAGCAACGAUGCUUGAUGUCUGAGCUCUUCACCUUCUGCCAAAGGUCAUGCAGUCCCUCCCCCAGAGCAAGCCUCUUUCAGAGGCUCGUAGCCAUGGCUCACUCUUCCGGUCACUAACCAGAACUCAGAACUGUAGGUGAGGGGUGCAGGUCCACCAGUUACUCAAAUAUUUUUUUCCUUUCUGACGUGACUGUCUUCAGUAGGGUUGCCACCUUUCAGAAAUAGAAAUAAGGGACGCCCUGAUUUCAGCAGCGCAGGAGCCAAAAAAAAAGCCCUAAAACUUCUAAACUGAAUAAAAAUGUGUUUAUUUUAUAUGAAAAAACAAAAUGCUUUGAUUUAAAGUUUAAAAUGCUUUAAUAGCAUUGAACUUGCAUGACUGUAUAGACAGCCAACCAUAAUAGCAACUGAAAUAUCCUCCUAUGCUACGUACGUCCACAUCAGCCCAGAUGUAAUAUAGCUACAGGUGAAGAAUAUGGUGUAAAAGUUAAUUUAUUUCAAUAAUUCAACUAGAAUAUGGUGUAAAAUUUAAUUUAUUUCUAUAAUUCAACUAGAAUAUGGUGUAAAAGUUAAUUUAUUUCAAUAAUUCAACUAGAAUAUGGUGUAAAAGUUAAUUUAUUUCAAUAAUUCAACUAGAAUAUGGUGUAAAAGUUAAUUUAUUUCAAUAAUUCAACUAGAAUUUGGUGUAAAAGUUAAUUUAUUUCAAUAAUUCAACUAGAAUAUGGUGUAAAAGUUAAUGAAAAUACGGUACAAAUCGUGUCCCAUAUUAGUUCAAUACGGGACGCAACAUUUUUUUCUCAAAUAAAGGACAAUUCCGUAUUUUACGGGACGGGUGGCAACCCUAGUCUUCAGUCUUCACUACAAUGUUGCUCCGCUAUUAUAUUACUGUUACUGCUGCUAGCCGUUUAAUCCCCCGACCCAACAGGAUAUUUAAACUUUUACACUUGGGAAGUCCAACAUAAAACAUCUCCAAGAGGAGAUGCCGUUCUGAGGCUCUGUAGCUGAGCAGCAGCUAGAGGUCGUCUCCACAGAUGUAAUGAACAGAAACAAGGUGGUUAUAGUCUGAAAAGUCAGUGAAUGGUGUCUCAUUAAUACAUUUGGCAUUUAACGUUCCAUCACUUCUACUGCCCAGGCUCCUGUCGCUGUGCGCAUGGCUAAAGAGGCAAUGAACAGAGGAAUGGAGGUUGACAUCGGUUCAGGGAUGGCGAUAGAGAGGAUGUGUUAUGCCAGGGUCAUCCCCACACGGGACCGACAGGAGGGAAUGGCAGCCUUCAUCGAAAA